rnacentral:lncRNA from 1 species
CACUAAGCUCCCACACAACCCAAAGGGCUGGUUUCACUCCCACUGUGGCCCACCCCCUACAACAGCACCAAGUCUGUUUUCAGGCAGUGGGCGAACAGGGCUGAGAACUUGCCCCAGGCUACCCACUUACCAGCUGCAAAACCAAGUAGGACGUUUGUUCUUCCCAGGCCUGUGGAGUCUGCACACUGAAUUCAUAUCUUUCUCCAAGUCCUGGCCAGGAGACUUCUCAAUCAGUUCAAACUGUUACAAAGUUCAGCUAGAGGUUUCCUGCUCCCUGUGGCCUUUUUCCAGUGCCUCUGACUGCCCCCCGCCCCAAGGACCCUGUGAGGCAGGGCAGAAAUGGCUUGCCAGGGGACCCAGUGAGUCCACAGGGCUUUUCCCGCUGCUUCCUCUACCCUGUAUUUUGUUUGGCUCUCUAAAUUGAUUCAACUCCAGUGCUUCCUCCAAAGGUUUAGAUAAUCCUUACCAGCAGAAGGGAAGACACCAACAUCCAAAUGACAUAGAACACUGGGCCUUUUCCUUCUACUCAAGACAGUGAGAUGGGAAAACUGAA